UACGUAGGGUGCGAGCGUUGCCCGGAUUUAUUGGGCGUAAAGGGCGCGUAGGCGGCCACGCACGUCCGUUGUGAAAUCGCCCGGCUCAACUGGGCGGGGUCGGCGGAUACGGCGUGGCUGGAGCAAGCUAGGGGGCAAUGGAAUUCCCGGUGUAGUGGUGGAAUGCGUAGAUAUCGGGAGGAACACCAGUGGCGAAGGCACCAUCCUGGGGAGUCACUGACGCUCGGGUGCGAAAGCCAGGGGAGCGAACGGG
rnacentral:rRNA from 1 species